GACGAACGCUGGCGGCGUGCUUAACACAUGCAAGUCGAACGGAAAGGCCCUGCUUUUGUGGGGUGCUCGAGUGGCGAACGGGUGAGUAACACGUGAGUAACCUGCCCUUGACUUUGGGAUAACUUCAGGAAACUGGGGCUAAUACCGGAUAGGAGCUCCUGCUGCAUGGUGGGGGUUGGAAAGUUUCGGCGGGUGGGGAGGGACUCGCGGCUUAUCAGCUUGUUGGGGGGGUAGUGGCUUACCCAGCCUUUGCCGGCGCCCCGGCCUGCGGGGGUCACCGGCCACAUUGGGACGGAGAUACGGCCCAGACUCCUACGGGAGGCAGCAGUGGGGAAUAUUGCACAAUGGGCGGAAGCCUGAUGCAGCAACGCCGCGUGCGGGAUGACGGCCUUCGGGUUGUAAACCGCUUUCGCCUGUGACGAAGCGUGAGUGACGGUAAUGGGUAAAGAAGCACCGGCUAACUACGUG
rnacentral:rRNA from 1 species